rnacentral:rRNA from 1 species
AUUGAACGCUGGCGGCAGGCCUAACACAUGCAAGUCGAACGAGUGGCGGACGGGUGAGUAAUGUCUGGGAAACUGCCUGAUGGAGGGGGAUAACUACUGGAAACGGUAGCUAAUACCGCAUACCAUCGGAUGUGCCCAGAUGGGAUUAGCUAGUAGGUGGGGUAAAGGCUCACCUAGGCGACGAUCCCUAGCUGGUCUGAGAGGAUGACCAGCCACGCUGGAACUGGGACACGGACCCGACUCCUACGGGACGCAGCAGUGAGGAAUAUUGCACAAUGGGCUCAAGCCUGAUGCAGCCAUGCCGCGAGUAUGAAGAAGGCAUUCGGGUUGUAAAGUACUUUCCGCGGGGAGGCGUUACCCGCAGAAGAAGCACCGGCUAACUCCGUGCCAGCAGCCGCGGUAAUUC